rnacentral:lncRNA from 1 species
UGGUUGAAGAAAACACAAAAAUAGAGGAUCAUGGAACACCCCUUCCUCGGUUGAAUCCGAUGACUUAUUCCAUCGAAAACCAUGGUCUAAGAUCUAUAGAGGAUGUGGAGGAAGAUUGGAUUACAAGUUAAGGGAUUAUUAUCUUGUUUCCAUGGUUUAUGAUUUUGAUUUCCAGCGGCCACAGAGAAUUCAAGCGACGGAUUUUUUUUU